UACGAAGGGGGCUAGCGUUGCUCGGAAUCACUGGGCGUAAAGGGUGCGUAGGCGGGUCUUUAAGUCAGGGGUGAAAUCCUGGAGCUCAACUCCAGAACUGCCUUUGAUACUGAAGAUCUUGAGUUCGGGAGAGGUGAGUGGAACUGCGAGUGUAGAGGUGAAAUUCGUAGAUAUCGGAAGGAACACCAGUGGCGAAAGCGGCUCCCUGGUCCAGCACCGACGUUCAGGCACGAAAGCGUGGGGAGCAGACAGG
rnacentral:rRNA from 1 species